rnacentral:rRNA from 1 species
GGACUACGGGGGUAUCUAAUCCGGUUUGCUCCCCCAGCUUUCGUCCCUCACUGUCGGACCCGUUCUGGUGAGAUGCCUUCGCUAUAGGUGGUCCCACCGGGAUUACAGGAUUUCACUCCUACCCCGGCAGUACCUCUCACCUCUCCCGGUCCCUAGAAAUGCAGUUUCCCCUGAACGCCCGCCAGUUAAGCCGGCGGAUUUCUCAAGAGACUUGCAUAUCAAGCUACGGACCCUUUAAGCCCAGUAAUAGUGGCCACGGCGGCUGGCACCGGUCUUGCCCGGCCCUUUCUUCACCAGUUAUUUACACUGGCGGACAGCCAGCCUAUGCUGGCACUCGGGGUUUCCUUAUCACGGUUUCCCGCAUUGUAAAGUUUUCGCGCCUGCUGCCCCCCAUAGG